AUCACCUAGGGGUCUUGUGAAAAUGCAGAUUCUGAUUCAGUGGGCCUGGGCAGGGCUUGGGAGUCUGCAUUUCUCACAAGCUCCCAGGUCAAGCUGA
rnacentral:pre_miRNA from 1 species